CCUACGGGAGGCAGCAGUAGGGAAUAUUGCUCAAUGGGGGAAACCCUGAAGCAGCAACGCCGCGUGGAGGAUGUAGGUUUUCGGAUUGUAAACUCCUUUUGUUAGAGAAGAUAAUGACGGUAUCUAACGAAUAAGCACCGGCUAACUCCGUGCCAGCAGCCGCGGUAAUACGGAGGGUGCAAGCGUUACUCGGAAUCACUGGGCGUAAGGAGCGCGUAGGCGGGAUAGAAAGUCAGAUGUGAAAUCCUAUGGCUUAACCAUAGAACUGCAUUUGAAACUGUUAUUCUAGAGUAUGGGAGAGGUAGGUGGAAUUGUUGGUGUAGGGGUAAAAUCCGUAGAGAUCAAGAGGAAUACUCAUUGCGAAGGCGACCUGCUAGAACAUAACUGACGCUGAUGCGCGAAAGCGUGGGGAGCAAACAGGAUUAGAUACCCCUGUAGUC
rnacentral:rRNA from 1 species